UGAUUUAAUUGGGGUGCAGUGAAUACUUCUUCCGUAUAUAUAUUUCUUUACAUUAAAAGCGGUUAUCUAACAUAGUUUUAUUAGGAUUAAUUUUCUUGUUUUUGUACAUAAUAAAAAAUAAAUGUUCUUAUUAGUCAUCAAUAUGUAUUUCAAUAUCAUCGAGAGAUUUUGAGAAAAAAAUAGUUGCCAUCACUUUCACAGCUAAUGCCCCUUUAAAGUAAGAUGUAAGUGCACAGGUAUCUGAAUUUUAAUCUAAUUAUUUCAAUUAUUUAUUGAUUCACCAAGCAUGUUGGCAUACAAUCAUGUUACACAAUAUGAGAUAUAUAAUGACAAUAAACUAAUUACUAACAGUUCAUUUACAUAUAUGUAAAUACAAGUAUAUAUUUGAUAUGUACCUGUGAUAUUAGACUAUGUAUACAAUUUAGUAUUGCAUAUUACAUAAAUUAAAUGUAGUUAUAGCACUCUACUUUUGGUGCGCAAUUCAAAACAUUCAUGUAAAAAUUAAAUGUAGUUAUAGCACUCUACUUUUGGUGCGCAAUUCAAAACAUUCAUGUAAAAAUUCAAAAAACCUUCUAGCAUGAACUACAUUGACAGGGUUGCAUAGUACUUUACAAUGGUUUUCCUUUGAUAUAGCAUCGUGUGAAUUGUAGAUGUUCAAAGGGUAAUAGUUAAUUAGAAAAAAAAUGUGAAGAAUUUUUUUUUUAUAUCUAAAUAAAUGGAGAGAGAGAGAGAGAGAGAGAGAGAGAGAGAGAGAUUUCUUUUCUUUAUUUACAUGUAUAUCUGUUGAUUACAGUUCAGAUACUGGGUUUGUGAGUUGAAAUUAAUCAAAUGAGAGUGGUAAAAAUCCACCUUUAUAUGUAUAAUUUACAUAUCAGGAUUUUAUCCAGGUACGUUAUUCUGGUUUGUGGAAUGCUAAUUUAUACUAAGUUAGAAUAAUCUAAGCUGUAUACCAAAGUAGGUCUUCAUGGGGCUUUACGGCUCUAUGCAUCGUAAAUAGAGAUCGGGUUCAAUGCGUCGGGUGUGGGAUUCACACAAUAUAUGCUGAGCGCGAAAGUUGAUAUUGACAGGCGCCAUAAUGUUAUACCGGUAAACAACAUUUUGAACAUGAAUCGAGAACAGGAGUUGAAUCAGUUGAUGCAGAUAUUCUGAGGAGAAUCUUCCAGUCAUUGAAAUAUAUUUCAUGAUAGUCAUGCAGAUUCAGAAGUUGUGAUGGUGUGUUGAUAGGCUGUCUUCAACUUGCCAUAUCUUAGAGUUCCAACAUGCAGGCCUGGAUUAAUGUGUAUAAAUCACUAAUGAAAAAAAGAAUGACAUUUCGAUUUAUACACACUUGCCAAGUGAAUCUGAUGAGACUGCUACAUGUAUUUGUGAGUAAAGGCACUCUGUCUUAACCAAAAAACUAUUUACAGUUUAUCACAACAAAUGGAUGGGACAGUAGAGCUGUUGCGGACAAUAUGUGAUUGUGAUGACCAAGUACUGAACAAGUGGAAGAUUAGAAGAAGGUCCAGAAUUCAAUCAUGUUUUUUAUUCUAAGGUGCACACAGCAUGGAGAUAGUCCUAUUAUUCUCUCAUUCAUCUAUGAUGGAGAAACUUGUGUAAAUGUUUAGUGUUCUCCCUAAGAAUUAAAUGCCCACAAGUCUGUAUUAAUUUAUCAGAAUAUAAAGUCCUUCACAGUACUGAUUUUAAAAUUAAUGUAGAGUGUCUCCAGAUUUUUCUGAGGAAAAGUGCAUAGUUUACAAGUGUGAAUUUUGAAUAUAUUUCAUUCUUGUCUGCAAAUGUUGCCGAAACGUGUUGUUAUUGAUGCACAGUCAUGUUAUGCAAAUGAUAGACCUUCUUAAUUACAUGUACAGAAGAUCAUGUCAACUCCUUUGUCUUAAUUGUAUACACAAUUCUAGCAUUUAUAGCAUCAUUUAUAUAGCACUUGCUAGUUUAAGAAGGAUUUUAUUUUCUAAAAGCUUUCAUUUGACAUGAUUGAUCUAAAACGGCCAAAAUUCACAAAUCUAUUUAAAUCACAACCUGACCUUAUGUCAGAAAAGUGCCACUGUGGGUUGAUAUUUUUCUCUUGGAUCUUGAAAGAAAUUCUUUAUGCAGCAGUUUCCAAAUAAAAUGUACUCUCAUGGCCAGGGUGGGACUUCACCGAGAACUUUUUAACAUUGCACAAUGCAAUAUUUGUAGAUUAGAAGUUGUUGCAGUUUCUUUAAGUUUUCUCUCACAUCUUGUUAUAAUUAUAUUUUUGGUUGGGUUGCACAAUGUGCAAACAGUUUAUAAAAUGGUGAAUUACUCAGUGGUGGGCAAGCGACAGUAGCGUCCCUGUAAUAGUACCUACUUUGUGUAAUCAACUCCUUUCACACCUCUCACUUGAUGUUCCUUAAACUUUGUACAGUUGUUAGGGAUACAUUGAAGAUGUGCAUGUGCCUUUUUGAAAGUGAUCAGACAUUUUUUGAAAAAUUUACAUGUAGUUGAACUUCGUCAUUUUUAAGCAUUUCUUUAAUCGACAGUACCUAUUUUGUGUAAUCAACUCCUGGUAUACCUCUAACUUGACAUUCCUCAAACUGUGUACAUUUGUUUUGAACACAUUGAAAAUGUGCAUAUGUGUUUUUGAAAGUGAUCAGACAUUUAAAAAAAAAUGUAUAUGUAGUUGAACUUAGUCAUUUUUAAGCAUUUCUUGAAUAGAUGGUAACUAUUUUGUGUAAUCAAAUCUUCAUGCACCUCUAACUUGACAUUCCUUAAACUUUGUACAGUUGUUAUGAACACAUUGAAGAUGUGCAUGCAUCUUUUUGAAAAUGAUUAGACUUUUUAAAAAAAAAAUUAUGUGUAGUUGAACUUGGUCAUUUUUAUGCAUUUCUUGAAUAGAUGGUACCUAUUUUGUGUGAUCAACUCGUGCACAUCUAAAUUGAUAUU